AAAGAGAUGGGGCUGAGGCCACCGGCUUGCAAGGGACCCUGCCUGCAGCUUCCAGAGCCCAGCGGCUGGGCCAUGCGGAGAGGAACGGACUGGCUGGGACCUGGCAUGGGUCCAGUCCUGCCACCACUUUGCUCCUGGACAGGGUCAUCUGUGCCUCUUUUCAUCCGGUGAUUAUUGCACUUAUCUAAUAAAUAAAAAUUACAUGAGACGCUAUAAAUAGAAGUUCUGGACAUGGUAGGACCGCAUAGGCAUCAGCUAUGAUUUAAACCACAUGGCAACAGCAUGGCCUCUAGGAAGAGGGAGGCAGCGGGGAGGCUGUUCUGGUGCGAGAUGAGCUCUGAGCAAGGCCCAGACAGGUUGCUGGUUAAGGCAGGAAAGGUGAGUCAUCUUGUUCUCUAAGAUUCCGAGAAGAUGUCCUUAGGGUGAUUUUUACAAUGUUUCUUUGAAUCACCUUUUUCUGCUAAUGAUGACAAAUUACACUUUUAGAGAUAAUUUGAGUGUAUUCCCUUCACUUAGUAAUGUAAUUUGUUGUUUUCAGGGCAAAUAAGAUUCGACGAUGCAGGAAUCUCUGGGACUUUGCUCCUAGGACUGCCCGGGAAUCUUGACCCAUCGCUAAGUAAGAUGGUGUUUAUAAACACAGGGGAACCUCUCAAAGGAACAAAAAGCAUUUAUUCACUCAACCUGGGACUUCAACUUUAUGGAAGAAGUAAGAGAAGAAGAGGAAGAAGAGGAAGAAGAAGCGGUGGCGGCGGAGGAGGAAGAGGAGGAGGAGGAAGAGAAGAGGAAGAAGAAGAAGGAGGAGGAGUAGCAGGAGGAGAAGAAGAGGAGGAGGAGGAGGAAUGCAUUUGUAUUCCGUCUGGAAAAGAGCUUUCCCUAGGCAAAGCUAAGACACACAGCUGCAGCCUUGACCGAUGACAGCUGUCCAUUUCAGGUCCCACUCAUAGAAAUAAUGACCCGGGCACAGGCAGCAAUUGUAGCAGACGCUAUUCCUUUUUUCUGUGUGUGCAUCAUUUUCGUUUGGUUUGUUUCUUACUCUUUGGUAGGAAUUUCUGCUUGAUGCUCCCACAGGACCUCGGUUCAGCUGGAUCAGUGGAAAACCUGUACAACUUGUCCCUUUAUAAAAACUCCCAGUUACAGUUUUUCUUUGAUAUUUACUUUGGAAUACCUAGAGACUCUUCCCACCCACAUCCCCCUUUCCAAAGACAACAUGGUCGUGUUGGAAACAAAAUUCGGGAGACCAGAGGACUUUGACUGUGGGAAGAAAUGUGGUAGUUUAGGAACCUGCGACUCCUUCUUCCCAGCCCUCCAGACCCUCCAAAGAGCUGUUGACAAGAGCCUUAGAUGAAGGCCCUGAGCUGUAGCCUAGCGCAAUUCUCCUUUGCCUAUCUGAAGAGCAGGACAGGCAGGAUUAGCGAGGCAAACAAAACCUGAAGGACUUCUUAAUAGCCAGACAUCUGAGGCCCUUCAGAACCACUUUGAAGAUCGGGGGUGAUACUGGCUGAGGCUCCAGGUUUAUCAUUUGAUUUGUGACUUUCAGCUCAGGCAGGAGACAGAGAGGAGAGUUCACCAGAGACAAGUCACUUCUGUUGAAUGAGUCACCAUCGCCACACAGCUGCUUGUUCCAGAGCAGCUAUGGUGGGGACAUUGUCUAGGAUCCCAGGAAAAGUGAAAACAUUGACCGGAAUGUUUCCAGCACAAUGAAUGUGAUAACAGAGAAUGAAUAAGUGGAACAGCUCCAACACAGCCAAGAAGAUGUUGCUUUAUGAGAGCUGACUUUCCCCAGAGCAGUGCGCUCCCAUCACAAGGAGGAUUAAUUCAUACAUUUCAAGGCCUAAAUGACAGACGAUAAAUGUGUGUAAUUAUGUAAGUGAGCCCACUGUGUUAGUAUGCAAAGGUGCCCACUUUUCCUGCAUCAGAUAUUGACCCUCUUCCAUGUCAAAAUUCAGAGAGUGACAGCUGCCAAUCUCACCCCAGCAUCCUCACCUGCUAACCAGGUAUCUGUACUCACUCAGCGUGCCUGCUUGGCGAAUCUCAGCUGAGUCAGUUACAACAGGUCCCCUUUCAGACAGGUGAUGAUUAGAAGGUUUGUGACUCAAAGAGCAUGACGUGUUCCCUUUCCUCUGCAGCAGGAAGAUACUCCCUGAUAUCGUAGCAGUGACUCAGCCUGCCAAGACAAUCCAUUUCAUUCUUGUACCAUUCUUGCAUAAAUCACAGUGCAGAAAGCUUGGCAAGAUAAUUUUUAAAUUUUAAACUCGACCAGGAGAACUGUUGAGAAAUAAGACUUCAUAUUGAAGUACGUUUCCUCUCCUCGGAAGCUUUCAAGAGGCGAUGCUGGGUGAAGGGUUACUCCAAGUUCUGGAGGCUGAAAGUCCAAGAUCACGAUGCUGGCAGAAUCGGUGUCUGGUGGGAGCCUGUUUCCUGGCUCGUUGAUGGUGCCUUCUCCUUGGGUCCUCACCCGGUGAAAGAGGUGAGGGAGCUCUCUCUGGCCAUUUUUUCUAAGGGCCCUAAUCCCAUCCUUAAGGACUCCAUCCUUAUGACCUCAUCACUUCCCAAAGAUGGCAUCUCCUAAUACUUAAGAGGUCAGGAUUUCGACAUGAAUUUUGAAGGAACACAAAUAUUCAGUCCAUAGCACCUUCCAAAGAGUUAGAGUGUGUGUUCCCAGCCUCAGCCACGUUGACAUUCUGACGGAAACAGUUCUUUGUGGUAGGAGACCGUCCUGUACACAGUGUGUUCAACAGCACCCCUGGCCCUCACCCACUAGAUGGUAGGUGCAUAUCUGUCACUUGUGACAAGCAAACUUACCUCCAGGCAUUGCCACAUGUCCCCUGCUCGGGUGGGAUGUGGGAAGCCAAGUCAACCCCAGGAGAGAGCCACUGAUGGAGACAUUCCAGGGCAAUCUUAUUCCUGAAGUCCUGUGUCUUAGUUAGAAACGUAAAAUACGUGAGUGGCAAACAACCCAAGACUUCCUUGCUGAACAGCAGGAAAUCAGCCUCCUGUAGCCCCACUCCUCACCUCCACUUGGCAUGACCAACCUCCUCAGUCCUCAGUGGGUUUUCUUCCCUCUUCCCUGGAACUGUGUAAGGAUUCCUGAUGUCUCCACCAGGCCCUAGCCUGACACCUGCUCCUCACGGCUCAGGACGCUGCCCCUCAAAGGCCUGGCCCAAAAUAGGAGCUGAUAAUCUGGCAUGACUUCUUAUACUAAGCCUUCCAAUUUCUCUCUGGAUUAGAUUCUUUUCUCCCUCUCCCUGGGAUAGGAAACAUUCAGAGUUUGACUCUUGAUUUGCCCACCACCCCAGGGCUGUGCCCCACAUGGCUUCUUUGGGAUAUUUAGAAGAAAAAUCCUCAUAAGAAAUUGACUGUGAGGGCCGGGCGCAGUGGCUCACACCUAUAAAUCUCAGAACUUUGGGAGGCCGAGGAAGGCAGAUCACUGAAGCUCAGGAGUUCGAGACCAGCCUGUCUGUACUAAAAAUACAAAUAUUGGCUAGGCAUGGUGGCACACACCUGUAAUCUCAGCUACUUGGGAGGCUGAGGCAGGAGAAUCGCUUGAACCUGGGAGGCAGAGGUUGUGGUAAGCCGAGAUUGGGCCACUUCACUCCAGCCUGGGUAACAGAGCGAGAUUCUGUCUUAAAAAAAAAAAAAGACUGUGAUAGGAAAUGGUUCUCUCUAGUCCUCAAAAUGUUUUUUAUGAAAUAGAUCCCAUCACGAUGAGACCUGCUGCAUUCAUGAUGUCAGAAUCAUCAUACAAAGGUGCACACUGGUGUAUUUAAACUUGGGAUAUGGCAUGCUUGCCUCUGUGCAAACUGUACAUGCCGAUUUCCACUCUCUAGGGGAUCAUUCUGAGGCCACCAGGGGCUACUCUGAUAACACACAGCCCUGCAGGAAGCAGAGCUCCUCCUGGCCUCCCCAACACCCUUGGGGCAGAACAGGAACUUCUCCAAGCACCUGUCCUCCUUCUACUGCAAUUUCUCCUUCACCUUCAGUGAUUGUCUUUAUAUAAUGUAGAGCCCAAGUUCAAGGGCUUGUCUCCAGGAUGAUGCCUUAUGACAUACAAUUUUCUGGGCAAAUUUCUACCUCUUUCCCAUUAAAACCAUGUCUGCAUCCACAGUGACACGUUCCUGAGAACACUGCGGACAGAAGGCGCAAAUGUCUCAUACCUGAACUUAGCCCACGUGUCGCUUCUGUGUUUAUUAUGUUUUUGUUAGAAUUGGUCUGUGUUCAUUCUAAGUGUAAAAAGAACGCAAAUUAAAUAGGAUACAAGAUAUAUGACUAAAACCUUUUAAAACUAAUAUUUAUAUGAAAUAAGACAUUCUGUGUUAUUUUUAGGUGAGGUGAGAAAAAUGUCCUAUUAUAAGAUAUAUAGUUUCUUAUAAUGGAAAGAAACAUACAUAUUUCCCAUUAAAUAACCUCUGACAUUAUUUUAACAUUUUCUACCAAGUUUAUUACUGAUAAAUAGAAGUCAAGAAAUAACGCCACUGAGAAUAUCCUAUAUUGAAGAAUCUUGUUUUAUAAAGCAUCUUCCCAUACAAUGAUAAUCGGUUACUGUAAUAUCUUUUCAAGCCAUACCACUCAGAAAUAUUUUAAAUAUUAUACAACUUUGUAUAUAUAUAUAUAUUAUAUAUAUGCAUAUUUUCUUUAGUCAAUGACAUGAUGCUUUACACAAGUCAAAUAUUAUAUUCAUAAUCUUAGAAAAGAUCUCAUAAAGAACUUGGUAACUAACUUUGAGUGUAUGUGAGACUCUUUCAGGACACUCUUAAGAAAUCAAACAUUUGGUAUUGUGUUCUUUGCUCGAGUACAACUUGAUCAUACGAGUCUAAUCUGUGUUUCCAUGUUUCUGCAUUUGAAUGAAACUAAACUGAAAUGCUUGGAACCAGUGCCUUUCCUCUCUGAAGGCUCUGCACUAUGGGCCAUGUGACUGUUCUCAGAUGUUGAAAGAAACCCACCUCCAGGAACUGGACCUCACUUGACCAAGCAAACCACGCGACACCAGCCUAUGUGUCCACUCACCCUUGAAAGAAUGGAGGGAAAAGCUUCUCCUGCUGGGCUGUGUCCUGCAGCCGGGAAUCCUGGCGGGAGGCAGAGGCCUCUGAUACGCUUCUGAUGGGUGGGUGGGAGGUCCGUGUGUGCGUGCAUGCGUGCAUGUGUGUGUGAGAGAGACAGGAAUGUGCCUUCUUUAUCAGAAGCCAUUUCCUAUGUUCAAAUGUGAUUUCUCUAUUUAUCUACAAUCUCAACUAGAAGCAUAGAAAGAAUUCUCACUCAUGUUUAGGGGGAAAGAAGUCCAGCUGUGUCUAUGAAAGCAUUCAUAUUAUCUCUCCCCCACCCCUUCAAUAUCUUGCCCAAAGCAUUAGACAUUCACUGUAGGUUUAGGCUAAAAACUUUAUUCUAUUUAGCUGAGCGUUUCCAAUAUGUUAAUAGGAAUAUGAGAGAAGCGACACGCUUGAAAACAUCACAGUUAAUUCCUCCAUUGCAAGAUACAGUGAUUGAUUGAUAGAUGAUGGAUAGCUAGACAUAGGCAGACAGAUGGAUACAGAAGCAUAAUAACAUAAGUGGAAAAUGGUCAGAAGUAGCAAAAGUUAAGGGGAAAAUUGCCUUGAAUUUCCCCACUGAGCUACCUUUGGCAGUGUCUAGGAGCCCCAGGAAGCGCUCAGCACACAUGUAUUAAUCAAGUAUGCCUUAAACAUUCAAGCCUGGACACACAAAGCAAUUUCAGCUUUUUUGUGAAAUAAAUAUCAGGUAUUAAAAACAUACUUGGACACAGAACUGUUUUCAGUCCUCGGACAAAGGCCAAAUAAUCUGAGAUGUGCACUGGGAAAAAAAGAAAGGCAGGCUUUCAGUUUCCUUUGGCAUGAAUCCAAUUUGUGCAAAGUGCUGAGCCUCCACAUCCUGGGAGAAGCCUCAGCCUAAAGCCCUCCUGGGGCCACGCUGGUUCCCUUCCCUGAUGGCUGGACCCGGGUCGUCUCAGGGGCUUCCCAGCUGGGCUGCAGGGUCAGCUGUCAGCCAUAAGUGGGCCCUUUGCUUCAAUUGUCUCUGAUGUCGCUAAGCUGCUGCAGAACCGGAGACAGAUACAAUGUCAGACUCCGUCUUAAACCCCAAGGACUGUGUCAGGGCCACUGUCAUUUCAUUCCUGUCUUUCAAAUAUCUUUACAAAUGUAAUUAAUGGGGAAUCAGCUGUCAAAUCCAUCUUUUAAUAAUCAAAUCUUAGGUGGCAAGAUUCGAUUUUGCUUUGGGUUUCCUGAUGGUUCAGAAUGUGUUCCACGCAGCUCCCUCCCUUCUCAGCCAGUUCCCCGACCAGCUCGGGGGAACAACUAUUUUUAGAUCCAGGCAAGCCCCGGAGUGUCAGACGGUGAAUUAUUAGCUGUGACUUCAAAAACAGUCACGGAGAUACUUUCGAAACCUCUGAUUUCUCCAUAGCAUGUGGACUUGAAUUUAUAUCCUGCCUUUACAGCCCAGAUUCCUGUGGUGUAGAGAGAGGCAGGCCGUCAAUGCAGCCCACAUCUGAUGUUCCUGGGCUUAUUAUUAUUAUUAUUAUUAUUAUUAUUUUUUGAGAUGGAGUCUUGCUCUGUCUCCCAGGCUGGAGGGUAGUGGUGUGAUCUCGGCUCACUGCAACCUCCACCUCCC
rnacentral:lncRNA from 1 species